AGAGUUUGAUCCUGGCUCAGGAUGAACGCUAGCUACAGGCUUAACACAUGCAAGUCGAGGGGCAGCAUGGGCUUAGCUUGCUAAGCCCGAUGGCGACCGGCGCACGGGUGAGUAACACGUAUCCAACCUGCCGAUCACUCCGGUACAGCCUUUCGAAAGAAAGAUUAAUCCCGGAUUGUAUGGCGAUUCCGCAUGGUUUCUCCAUUAAAGGUUUUUUCCGGUGAUCGAUGGGGAUGCGUUCCAUUAGGCAGUUGGCGGGGUAACGGCCCACCAAACCUACGAUGGAUAGGGGUUCUGAGAGGAAGGUCCCCCACAUUGGAACUGAGACACGGUCCAAACUCCUACGGGAGGCAGCAGUGAGGAAUAUUGGUCAAUGGGCGGAAGCCUGAACCAGCCAAGUAGCGUGAAGGAUGACUGCCCUAUGGGUUGUAAACUUCUUUUAUAAGGGAAUAAUUGCGGGUACGCGUACCUGUUUGCAUGUACCUUAUGAAUAAGGAUCGGCUAACUCCGUGCCAGCAGCCGCGGUAAUACGGAGGAUCCCAGCGUUAUCCGGAUUUAUUGGGUUUAAAGGGAGCGUAGGCGGGCGCUUAAGUCAGCUGUGAAAGUUUGGGGCUCAACCUUAAAAUUGCAGUUGAUACUGGGUGCCUUGAGUGCGGUAUAGGCAGGCGGAAUUCGUGGUGUAGCGGUGAAAUGCUUAGAUAUCACGAAGAACUCCGAUUGCGAAGGCAGCUUGCUGGAGCGUAACUGACGCUGAUGCUCGAAAGUGUGGGUAUCAAACAGGAUUAGAUACCCUGGUAGUCCACACAGUAAACGAUGAAUACUCGCUGUUUGCGAUAUAUUGUAAGCGGCCAAGCGAAAGCGUUAAGUAUUCCACCUGGGGAGUACGCCGGCAACGGUGAAACUCAAAGGAAUUGACGG
rnacentral:rRNA from 1 species